UCCACCAUCGUACUCCCCUCACCUUCCUCUCCAUAUUGAUACUUAUCGAUCACCAUUUCAGCCCCCUCUGCCAAAUUCACAAAUCUCGUCCGGAGGAGCUUCCAUGAAUUCCGGCGACUCUAUGGCUCCGACGAGGUGCUCAGCCAUCAAUUUGGUAAGGCUAGUCAUUACUUGUCAUACCCAACUCAAUUUCACCUUUGAUUUCGCCAAUUUGAGUCUAAUCGGAAUCUUCCUCUUUAUGUCCUUCGCCACCGUCGUCAACCGGCUCCUCGGCGACGUCGAGAGUUGCGGCAACCAAUCUCUUCUUAUACUGAUGACCUUGGAAAAGGACUCGGAGCUUCUGGGUAGUAGCAGAGAGCUUUGAUUACUUUAAGAGAAGUGGCAGCAGCUCGGGGCCGAAGAUGGGAGGCGCUGCAACCAUUGUUUUCGAUUCCGAGAUGUUGAUGAUAUAGGAAAGCUUAAUAUCUUGCUGCAUGUUGGUUUGUUGUUGAUCGGAGACGAUGUCUGUAAUCGGAAAUUGGCCGGAGUGAUAAGGGUGACAAAAAUUGGGAUUUUUGAUGUUUUACUUUCACUUUUUUACUAUUUACUAAAUGAAUUUAAUAGUUGUACUUUUACUUAAGGUAACUUAAUUAGUGGAAACCUAAUUUUAACUAAAUGGCGACGAUCUAACGUAACGAGUCUUAUGACUAAUGUUAAUUAUGAUCCUCAUUCGGUUCGAGCACUCGUUUAACUUAGUAUUGUGUGGGUAAAAUAAUUAGGUCGUCAAAACGAUUCCAAGUUAUGAUGCACGGACACGGACACGUAAGAGACACGGGUGUCCAUAUUACGCAAUUAAAGCUGGACACGAGGGGAAUUUUUGUCUGCAAACAUAAUUUAGACCUAAAGACUGAUCCAUCGAUCCUUGCCUCGCUAGUCGCUACGCAGCCAAGUGAGCCAACGCAACUCCGACCUUGAACCCUCCGACCACUUCGUCCCCACCGCCAUCGUCGCCAAGUCUCUUCCUUUUGUCGCCACCACUGCCAACGGCGAUCUCUUCGGCAAGAUCAACCCUCAUUUGUGUUUUUGAUGGCAUUCAUCGUUUGAUUCCUGAGGCCACUUCUAAAUAGCCUCACUGGGUUAUUUACUCAAGGAAAGCACCAAUCAAGAUUGACUGAGUUCUGCAAUAUGUACUACAAUGGCUUGUAUACUAGAGUUUGGACACAUUUGUUAAGUGAAGGAUGGGGAAUUGUUGGGUGCCCUAAGGUUAAUCCGGAAGCCAAAUCUAAAUUGGUCAAGUUGAUGAGAGAAUGCAAGGAGAGAUUGACGAAUGCAGCUCCUAAACAAGUUCAUCUACCAUCAACAAGGAAUCAAGGGGGAGUGAUACCACUAAUAGCGUUGGGCUGAGCACUUAUCAUGCAUAUGCACAUGAACUAACAACAUGCGAUACAGGAAAGAAGAGGAAAAUAGUAGCUGGUUCUAGUUAUAUUGAGAAAGCCUUUCAAAACUCGGCUAGGGAAGAAUGUGAUGCUGAGGUUGCAAGAAUGUUCUACACCGGUGGUCUACCAUUCAAUUUGGCAAAUCACCGGAACUCUUAUAUUCAUACUUCUACUCUUUCGGGCUAUGUUUCAUCAAGUUACAAUGUCAUAAGGACCACACUUCUUACAAAAGAAAAGAAGAAUAUUGAGAAGCAUUUGCAACCACUCAAACUUUCAUGAAAGGAUAAGGAUGUGAGUAUAUCUGAUGGUUGGUCCGAUGCACAAAGAAAACCAUUGAUUAAUAUGAUUGUUAUUUUCUGAGAGUGGUCAGAUAAUGUUAAGAGCUGUAAAUUGUGAGGGAGAAUACAAGGCUCGGAAUUAAUUGCAAACUUGAUUAUUGGAUCUAUCAAGGAAGUUGGAUAUGAAAAUGUAGUCCAAGGGAUUACCGACAAUGUUCCCGUUUGUGCAAAAGCCAGUGCAACGAUAGCAAGUAAGUAUCCUACUAUUUCUUGGACACCAUGUGUAGUUCACACAUUAAAUCUUGUUUGAAGAGUAUUUGCAAACCGUCUAAUUGCUUGAGAAAUAUAGAUAUGUAUGACCCAUAUUCUCUUGGAUACAAUUUAUUGUGGAGCAUGUUAUGUAUAUUAAGAACUUCAUAAUGAAUCAUGGAAUGAGAUUAGUUAUGUUCAAUGAUCAUUGCCCUUUGAAGUUGCUUUCAGUUUCUCCCACAAGGUUUGCAUUUACGAUUAUUAUCUUUAAGAGGUUUAAGACAAUCAAGAAUGGUUUGCAACAAAUGGUGAUUAGUUCAAAGUGUGAUGAUUAUAGCUUAGAUGAUCAACUGAAGGCGACUAGGGGUAAAUGAGAUAUUAUUGGAUGAUUUAAUGUGGGAUGAUAUUGACUACUUUCUUAGUUUUACCGAGCCUAUCUAUGAGAUAAUUAGGAACGCGGAUACCGACAAGCCUUGUCUUCAUUUGAUGUAUGAAUGGUGGGAUAAUAUGAUUGUUCAAGUGAAGAAAGUUAUAUAUAGGAAAGAAAGAAAAUAACUUGAAGAAAAAUCUCUCUUUUGGAAUAUGGUUCAUAAGGUGUUGAUGACUCGUUGGACCAAGAGCAACACGCCUCCUCAUUGUUUGGCUCAUUCUUUGAAUCCCAAGUAUUAUAGUUCGGAAUGGCUUAGUGAAGCUACUCAUCGUGUUGCUCCUCACAAAGAUUUGGGGAUUACAAGAGAAAGAAAAACAUGUCUCAUGCGGUACUUUUCCGAUGAAGAUAAAGGAAGAAAGGUUAACAUAGAAUUUGCCAAUUUUUCUAUGUGUAUACAAGAAUUUGGAAGUUGAGAUGCUAUGAAGGAUAGAUACUUAUUAGAGCCAAUUACAUGGUGGCCAAUCCAUGGAGCUUCUUCACCUAUUCUUCAAGGUACAGUCUUUCAACUUCUAGGUCAACCUAGUUCUUCAUCUUGUUGUGAAAGAAAUUGGAGCACAUAUAAUUUCAUUCAUUCUUUAAACAGGAACAAACUACUCCUACAAAGAGUGGAAUAUUUGGUAUUUGUGCAUACCACUCUUAUGUGGGAUGUAGGAGGUGAUCAAUUUGAAUCCUUGGAAAACAUUAAUAUUGGAAGACUUGAGAUGGCUAACCUUACACAUGAUGAACCACAAUUGGAGAGAUACUUAUUUGAUGAUGUUGAUGAUGUUAUUGAAAUAGAGAAUAUUGUGGAGGAUGACAUUGGAGUUUGA